rnacentral:rRNA from 1 species
GUCUUUUUGAUAANUAANUUUAAAGUCUAGUCUGCCCAAUGNANNAUUANUUGAAUGGCCGCGGNNUAUUUUGACUGUGCAAAGGUAGCAUAAUAAUUAGUUUUUUAAUUGAAAGCUGGUAUGAAUGGCUGAACGAGAAAAUUACUGUCUCAAAUUNAAAUUUAUUAGAAUUUUAUUUUUAAGUUAAAAAGCUUAAAUUAAAUUAAAAGACGAGAAGACCCUAUAGAGUUUNAAUAAUUAUUUUANAUUNNUUNUANUUUUAGAAAUANANNNUUUUUAUUNAUAAUAAUUAUUUUAUUGGGGUGAUAUAUAAAUUUAACAAACUUUANUNAAAUNUUAAUACAUAUUUCUAUGAUUAAGUGAUCCAUUAAUNUAUGAUUAUAAGAUUUAAUUACCUUAGGGAUAACAGCGUAAUCUUUUUAAAGAGUUCUAAUCGAAAAAAAGGAUUGCGACCUCGAUGUUGGAUUAAAAUUAAUAUUUGGUGUAGAAGCUNAANAUAAUUAGGUCUGUUCGACCUUUAAAAUUUUACAUGAUCUGAGUUUAAAUCGGUGUGAGCCAGGUUGGUUUCUAUCUUUAAUAU